GAACGCACAUUGCGCCCCCUGGUAUUCCGGGGGGCACACCUGUUCGAGCGCCAUUUCAACCCUCAAGCCCCGCUUGGUGAUGGGCCCCGCCUGCGGGCGGGCCCGAAACUCGUGGGCGUCGUCGUUCGGCUCCAAGCGUAGCAAAACCCUCGCUUGGGCGCCCGGACGGAGGCCGCCCGGAACGAAUUUUUACAAGGUUGGCCUCGGAUCAGGUGGGGAUACCCGCUGAACUUAAG
rnacentral:misc_RNA from 1 species